AAUCCAUGCUGAGAACAUUUCCGUAGGAGAUCCUUGAGCCUAUCCCAUGUAUCAAAAAGAGACUCCAAUUCCAUUUGCACAAAAGAGGACAUUUCAUUCCUGAGCUU